rnacentral:lncRNA from 1 species
AAACCAUUUGCAAAGACAGUGCUGAGAAGGAGGACAGCUGGGGUCAUUAUUUGGCGGAGGAAGCAUUACCUUGUACUGCACUUACUGUGACUGGCUAUACCUGAUGGCAUUUCCUGGAAUACAAGAAAUACGGAUUUUGGUGAUUCACUUUCAUUGAUGUGGAUACCUCUCUGGAAGGUUGCUGCGGGAAGAGAACUUUAUAAUUC